UGAGACAUAGCAUAAGAUAAUGCAUUUCGUUUACACCGAGAUUAUGCCUAAUAUGUGGGCUGUCUUAA
rnacentral:tRNA from 1 species